CCGCCCCAUAUCCCCUAUAGGGCUCCCCCCAUAUCCCCCCAUAUCCCCUAUAGGGCCCCCUAUAUCCCCUAUAGGGCCGCCCCAUAUCCCCUAUAGGGCCCCACGUCUCCUUUGAUGCUGAGCCAAAAUCCACCCCACCCCAUAAAGUCAAAACAAGCCAAAAAAGGGUAUUUAGGGUUAAAAUAACACCACAAAUAGGACGGGCCAUGGGAACAGCUGCGGGUGGGGCCCCAUCCCCCAUUCAUUGCUAUGGGGGGUUGUUUUGGGUGGAAAAAAGGUGGAUUUGGGACAGACGAUGGAGAUGGAUGUUAUGGGGUGGGAUUUUGGGGGAAAAAAGGGGGAAAUUGGGGUAAAAAGAGGCAAAAUGGGGCUAAAAAGAAGCAAAAUGGGGUAAAACAAGGUGAAAUAGGGCAAAAGACUGAUAGAAAUGGGGUAAAACCAGGUGAAAUAAGGCAAAAGAGUGAUCAAAAUGGAGCUAAAAAGCAGCGAAAUGGGGUAAAACCAGGUGAAAUAGGGCAAAAGACUGAUAGAAAUGGGGUAAAAACUGGUGAAAUAGGUCAAAAGACUGAGAGAAAUGGGGUAAAAUCAGGUGAAAUAGGUCAAAAAAACAGUCAAAAUGGGUCUAAAAAGCAGCGAAAUGGGGUAAAACCAGGUGAAAUAGGGCAAAAGACUGAUCGAAAUGGGGUAAAACCAAGUGAAAUAGGGCAAAAGACUGAUGGAAAUGGGGUAAAACCAGGUGAAAUAGGGCAAAAGACCGGUCAAAAUGGGGCUAAAAAGCAGCGAAAUGGGGUAAAACCGGGUGAAAUAGGGCAAAAGACUGAUAGAAAUGGGGUAAAACCAGGUGAAAUAGGGCAAAAGACUGAUAGAAAUGGGG